rnacentral:rRNA from 1 species
AUGUAGCAAUACAUCAGCGGCAGACGGGUGAGUAACGCGUGGGAACAUACCUUUUGGUUCGGAACAACCCAGGGAAACUUGGGCUAAUACCGGAUAAGCCCUUACGGGGAAAGAUUUAUCGCCGAAAGAUUGGCCCGCGUCUGAUUAGCUAGUUGGUGAGGUAACGGCUCACCAAGGCGACGAUCAGUAGCUGGUCUGAGAGGAUGAUCAGCCACAUUGGGACUGAGACACGGCCCAAACUCCUACGGGAGGCAGCAGUGGGGAAUAUUGGACAAUGGGCGCAAGCCUGAUCCAGCCAUGCCGCGUGAGUGAUGAAGGCCCUAGGGUUGUAAAGCUCUUUUGUGCGGGAAGAUAAUGACGGUACCGCAAGAAUAAGCCCCGGCUAACUUCGUGCCAGCAGCCGCGGUAAUACGAAGGGGGCUAGCGUUGCUCGGAAUCACUGGGCGUAAAGGGUGCGUAGGCGGGUCUUUAAGUCAGGGGUGAAAUCCUGGAGCUCAACUCCAGAACUGCCUUUGAUACUGAAGAUCUUGAGUUCGGGAGAGGUGAGUGGAACUGCGAGUGUAGAGGUGAAAUUCGUAGAUAUUCGCAAGAACACCAGUGGCGAAGGCGGCUCACUGGCCCGAUACUGACGCUGAGC